rnacentral:lncRNA from 1 species
AAAACUACAUAAAAAAAGGACUAAACAUUACCACUGUAUAGAGACUCCCUGUGCACCGCGAGUAGCAAGGUGACUUGGAGGCACGUCUGGAGACAUUGGGGUCGUCGUCUUGUACCCAGAGGUGGAGGUCGUCACUUUUCUACAACGAGAUCAACCCUACAAAUUGGGCAAGCAGUUCCUCCGCACGAGAGCCACGAUUCCACACAAUCGGCGUGGAAAGUAUGCCCGCAGGAGGUCGUAUGGUUCUUGUUUGCAUCUGAGUUGGGUCCAAAUGCCUGGAAACAGAUGGAACAAGGCUCAUCCUGCGGUGCCUCCGCAUUCGGACCAUCUUUGG